rnacentral:rRNA from 1 species
CCUGACAGGGUUACUCUUAUGGAUUUCCGCUUAGGAAAUCUUUUGGCAUCUCUAAAAAUGGUGAAGAAUAAGGGGGGGGCAAGACUGGGGUCAGCCGCCCCGGUC